rnacentral:rRNA from 1 species
UACGGAGGGUGCGAGCGUUACCCGGAUUUACUGGGUUUAAAGGGCGUGUAGGCGGUCUCUCAAGUCCGAUGCUAAAGACCGGAGCUCAACUUCGGGGGUGCGUUGGAUACUGUGAGGCUAGACGGUCGGAGAGGGUAGCGGAAUUUCCGGAGUAGCGGUGAAAUGCGCAGAUACCGGAAGGAACGCCAAUAGCGAAGGCAGCUUCCUGGACGAUUGGUGACGCUGAGGAGCGAAAGCGUGGGGAGCUAACCGG